UCAGUGUGGAGAAAGAUUUAUUGUUAAUUUACAAUUUGUACCUUUUUAGUACAAUUUCAUCUUUACUUUGUGAGAGUUUCUUAUAGCCCAUAGCUAAAACACCCCUAUCCCAGAGACGAGGGCCUCAAAUAUUUGCUUUGAAGAGUACUUAGAUAUGCAGAUGUCUAUCUGACAACUCAAUUCACAGAUAUUGACUUGUUCUAUUCUUAUUUCAGCUGUUCUCUGUGAUCCUUUUGCUCCUUCGAUCGAGUUACCAUUCAUCUACUUCGGUCUUGUACCAAAGUGGUAUUGAAUUUUCUUCUGGAGCUUCAGUAUGGAUUCCUUAGAAGGGAAAUAUACCACCAAAUUAUAUAGCUAUACCAUCCCAAACGAAAACUAAAGCCAAUAUUUGAAGGUAAAAACAAAAGUCUGGCAAGAAAGUUGAAGUCAGAGUUUGGGGAGGGGAUUUUGGUUGCAUGGUGAUAUGUGUUUUCCUGCAUCAUUGUCCAUCUCAUUUGAUUGGAUGAAUUCUUCCAUUGUUUAAAAAUAUGUAAAAGUUUUACAUAUUUUCGUUAAAAAGGAACAAAAGUUAAAAGAGUUUGAAACGCUUCUUUGAUAAUCGCAUUUCAUUGUUGAAAUGCAAGGGAGAAGGGGAAAAAAGAAAAUUAUAAAACAGUAAAUCACCAGAGACGAUGGUGGUGUAUUGCUGAACUACUUGUAGUGCUGUUUCAUUGAAAUGGAGAGAAAUUAAUAGGGAUUGAAAGUAAUUUCUCAGAGAAGCAUAUGCAUAUAUGAAUUAUAUUUCAAUUAGUUCAGGCCAAUUUUCUAUUGGGUUUAAUUUGCGAUAGUGUUUAUUGUGAGUUAGAGUUAGUGCUAGUUUACACCAGAAAUUCUCAUCACUGCCUGUGAGGAACUCAUUUGGCAACAAAAGCAGUUAGUAGUACUAUAUAUAGUACUAAUUAAAAAAAAAGUACUAUAGUAGAUGUGAUCAGCCUUAUUAAUGAUGUUGUUGAAUUAUCCUUUCACUCAAUAUCCAUCCUCAUGAAACAAUAGUUCGGUAGAUUCUUACACUUGAUUUAUCAAAUCAAAACCUUCUUAUUUCUUUAGAGGAGAUACAAGUUUGUUUCUCUCUUCUUGGGUUGUUCUUUGAUAUGUUACUUUUAUUCGCUUGUUCAGCUUUUUUGCUUCGCACUGAAGCGAUAAGUAACUAUAUUUCAUUAGGGGGAAAAAAUGUGGAAGAAGACCACCCUCUCAUGUCCUAAUGUCAUGGUUUCUCGAUUACUUUCUGAUAUUCUGUAAGUUAAUACUUGAUGCACGAUUGCUAAUUAAACAUUAUAUUAUGAAGCCUAACUUCCACUAUAAUACAAUAACUUUAAGUUUUCUCUCCAAUUUUUUAGUUAUUUGCUUGCAAAUCAUUAGUUCUUGACUUGUCAAAUAUUCUCUUAACUUACUAUUUGCCUGGCGUUUUCGAGCUAGAUUCACCAUUAUACUAUAGCUCACAGUACCAGAACAACAAUGUAGUUGUCUGAUCUUAUGCUGCUGAUGAACCUUGACCUCUUACGGCAAUCUUUACCCGUGUGUCAGUAAGUAAUCUUGCUGCUACACCAGCACUAUCAAUCUCCACAUGAAUUCAACCACUGUCCAUUAUGUAAUGAGUACGAAUGGUUAGAUACUUCUGAUUUGAUUUUUCAUUUUUGAUGUUUGAUUUUGUGCAUUUAGAAUUGUCCAUGAGAGCUGGUUAGUUCUGAUUUGAUUUUUGAUGUUUGAUUUU